CGGCCAGUGAUGCGUGUGUAACGCAGAGAUCUUACGGCUUUUACCGCUCUCACACCGGACACACCGGACACACUGACUAUUAUCUGGACACCCAGGCCACAGCGCUGCAAAAGCUGCCUGUUGUCUUCUGGAUAACGGCGAAUUCAUCCCAACAGGACAGAAAAGGUUGAGGUUGCUGACACCGACUAACACAAAUCAAAGGAGGCUCCCGAGGACAUGACAGCAGUAUUAACACAUGGGGCCGUCAGGGAGACGACUAAAAGCUGAGCCCACAUCCUUCCUCCCAGAGGGGGCAGGAAUAGGUGCAGUCAUCCUGUCAGGUCAGCUGUCGAGCAUCUGAAUAUAUGGCUGCAGAAAGACUAUAGCUGCUGUUAAACAGUUUAUCAGAGAAAAGUUCCUUGUUCCACUAUUUCAGGAAAGCUUUUCAUGAAUUUGACACAUUACAACCAUUUCAACCAUUACAUUACAGCCUGGUCUUUCUGUAUUGUGA